rnacentral:rRNA from 1 species
UACGUAGGGGGCAAGCGUUGUCCGGAUUUAUUGGGCGUAAAGAGCGUGUAGGCGGCCAGGUAGGUCCGUUGUGAAAACUCGAGGCUCAACCUCGAGACGUCGGCGGAAACCCUCUGGCUAGAGUCCGGAAGAGGAGAGUGGAAUUCCUGGUGUAGCGGUGAAAUGCGCAGAUAUCAGGAGGAACACCAAUGGCGAAGGCAGCUCGCUGGGACGGUACUGACGCUAAGGCGCGAAAGCGUGGGGAGCAAACAGG